AUUCAGAGAGUAAAAUCACUAGAAGGGAGAAGGCCUGGAAUUAGUAUAAAACUGUGGACAUCCUACCACUAACACUAAGUAGAGCGUUCGCAAUACUACAGCUUAAAAAUGAAAUUCGUGGGUUUGAUUCUUAUCCUAGCAUUGGUAGCUUUUCAAGUAGCGUACUGUGCUGAUUGCGUGUGCGUUGAGAAACCACCAUGUGCUAAGGGAUUUAAACCAAUCGAGCCAUGCACUACCGCCGACGGCAAAUCUGGAGCCAAGUGCUGUCCGGAAUAGUAGGUAGCAGCAAUGCUUUCCAGCACAUUUAGAUGGGAGAAAAACACAGUCUACACACAAUUUUUUUUAUUAAUAUGUUAUACUUAACUUGACUGUGUAAUUAACAAAUUGUUAGCCAAUUGAAUAAAAUAUAUAUUAAAAA